rnacentral:rRNA from 1 species
CCCUUAGAUGUUCUGGGCCGCACGCGCGCUACACUGAGCCCUUCAUCGAGUUUACAACCUUGGCCGGUAGGUCUGGGUAAUCUUCUCAAAGGGGCUCGUGCUGGGGAUAGAUUAUUGUAAUUUUUAAUCUUCAACGAGGAAUUCCUAGUAAACGCAAGUCAACAGCUUGCAUUGAUUACGUCCCUGCCCUUUGUACACACCGCCCGUCGCUACUACCGAUUGAAUGGCUUAGUGAGCCCGAGGGACUGUUGCACCUAGAGGGUUUUCUCUCCAGGAGCAGCCGGGAACUCGGUCAAACUUGAUCGUUUAGAGGAAGUAAAAGUCGUAACA